UACGUAGGUGGCAAGCGUUGUCCGGAAUUAUUGGGCGUAAAGCGCGCGCAGGCGGUCCUUUAAGUCUGAUGUGAAAGCCCACGGCUCAACCGUGGAGGGUCAUUGGAAACUGGGGGACUUGAGUGCAGAAGAGGAAAGCGGAAUUCCACGUGUAGCGGUGAAAUGCGUAGAGAUGUGGAGGAACACCAGUGGCGAAGGCGGCUUUCUGGUCUGUAACUGACGCUGAGGCGCGAAAG
rnacentral:rRNA from 1 species